rnacentral:rRNA from 1 species
UACGUAGGGUGCGAGCGUUGUCCGGAAUUAUUGGGCGUAAAGAGCUCGUAGGCGGUUUGUCGCGUCGGCCGUGAAAACUUGGGGCUUAACUCCAAGCUUGCGGUCGAUACGGGCAGACUUGAGUUCGGCAGGGGAGACUGGAAUUCCUGGUGUAGCGGUGAAAUGCGCAGAUAUCAGGAGGAACACCGGUGGCGAAGGCGGGUCUCUGGGCCGACACUGACGCUGAGGCGCGAAAGCUAGGGGAGCGAACGGG